rnacentral:rRNA from 1 species
GACGAACGCUGGCGGCGUGCUUAACACAUGCAAGUCGAACGGAAAGGCCCUGCUUUUGUGGGGUGCUCGAGUGGCGAACGGGUGAGUAACACGUGAGUAACCUGCCCUUGACUGUGGGAUAACUUCAGGAAACUGGGGCUAAUACCGGAUAGGAGCUCCUGCUGCAUGGUGGGGGUUGGAAAGUUUCGGCGGUUGGGGAUGGACUCGCGGCUUAUCAGCUUGUUGGUGGGGUAGUGGCUGACCAAGGCUUUGACGGGUAGCCGGCCUGAGAGGGUGACCGGGCACAUUGGGACUGAGAUAUGGCCCAGACUCCUACGGGAGGCAGCAGUGGGGAAUAUUGCACAAUGGGCGGAAGCCUGAUGCAGCAACGCCGCGUGCGGGAUGACGGCCUUCGGGUUGUAAACCGCUUUCGCCUGUGACGAAGCGUGAGUGACGGUAAUGGGUAAAGAAGCACCGGCUAACUACGUG